UGGACUAUUCCAAUUGUGCCAAGAACAGAUUUUGGUUGUUGGCCUUAUGUCGGAAGAUUUUGGAGUUCUUUCCCUCCAACCAAACAUAUUGCACGAGUCAAUCAAAUUGCCCCAAUUCAAAGACCGAAUGUGGAAUCCACAUUUAGCUUGUUGAAAUUGCAAAUCGUUUCGAUGGUAGAAAGUCACAAGGAACAGACAUAGGCGAUUCGAUGGUAGGCUGCGAUGUCAAGCACGCGAGAGUGUCUGCAUCAUUGUCUAUUAUCUGUUUGAUGAAAUGCCUAGCAAAUGCUUCUAAGCUGUAAUUCUCUCUACGCCUUUACAACUUUCUCCAUCGUCAAGACACACUCUAUGCAGCAGGAUAUUGAAUCCAUUGCAAGACGAGCAUGGACAUGUAGCAGAAGUGAAAAAAAGUUGGGAACUUGGAAAGACUUAGGAAAAAAAACAGAAAAAGUUGGAAAGAGGAAAAAAAAAAAAAAAAAAAAUAGAAUGAAAUCUACAAGUCCAAAUUGGAAGGAAAACUAAAAAUUAGUCUUCUUUGCUGUCUAAAAUGCCAGAGGUACGUUCUUUUUUUGGGGGGUGGGGGGAAUUUAAAGGGUUUUUUUAUUGUUGAUGAAGUGUUGAGCCACAUAGAACAAUGAGAGGAAAAAUUGGUUCUGCGUUAGAGAGAGAGAAAUGAGAUGAAUUUGUUUGCUUACAUGGCAAACAAGUGUAGUCCACCUAUUGAUCCGGCUUUUCUUUCCGAAUUUUUUUUUUUUUUUUUUUUUUUUUUUUUUUUGCAGUUUAUCAAGGAUGUACAAUGCCUAAUUGUAGGCUUCAUUUAUCUUUAGGAUUUGUAUGACAAAUGGGCAACAUGAAGCAUUGUGAUUAUCAUUAGAAGUUGUAGAUGUAGGUUCUUGUUAAGUUGAGGAGAUCAUUUCACAUUUGUCAAGAAUGCUGAGAUCAGAGUUUGAAUGGUAAUCCAAGCUAGCACAAGGAGAUUAUCUUUAGAAGAGAUUGAGAGAGAGAAGGCAUGUUUUCUUAAUACCAAGAAGAAGCCCGAGACUUGGAUUUCUUCUUGCUUUCUACAAUCUCUGGUUACCCCAAAUUUGGGGAAACAAACUCACAAUUGUUAAACAUCAAAAGAGGCCAGCUGACCAAGGCCUUGUGUCCUAGUGGUACUUACUCACCUUUUAAAGUAGAAGGUAAAUCUCCAUGGGGUUAUGAAGUGGGUAUGUUAGUAUGUUUCUUGCCAAUGAAAAAAAAUACUGAUCGGAGGUUUUGUUGGUCUUAAUACAUGAGCUUGGAAGAUGCCAUGUUGCUGCUAAAAGUCUUGAUACUUUGUUGUCCUUGAAGCUGCAAGAGUGAAGCCUUAGCUUGAUUAUCUAUGUGAUAGGGGAAGUGAUUGCUUGGGUGGUGGAGGAUUUCGUUCUGAAGAUUCUGAAAUUCCUUUCCUUCCAGAUGAAGUAGACAAAAGCUGCGAGUAGUAGUCUGCAUGUGAGGUUUUUGAUUGGUGUCAUCCAAGAAGAAGAAGCCAUAGCUUAAAGUUCUGGCCACGAGGAAUAGACAAGUUUAGGAGGGUUGUAUAGGUUCUGGAAGUGGUCCCAUAUGGUGGAUGUGAUUUUGAACCAGACCAAAGUGGACAAUGGGAAGGUAGCUGUGGUUGGUGGGAAUGAUUGCAUCUGAGUUAUUGUGAGAAGCUAGGUGAGUAAAUCCAAAGGAAGGUAUCAUCCUGUGAUCUGUUAAAUGGUGGGAGUAAGGCUUGAUUCUUGAGAUCAGGUAACGGUCUUUGUAGGCAGGGUGGGAUGUUCCAUUGGCCAUUUCUGAUGACUGCACUGACUUUGGUGUAUCUUUCCAAUGGAUGAGUUCAGAGUACCUGAGUUAGUGAUUUUGUGGACCAGUGGUCCACAAGUAAGCCAUGAAUCAAACCAGAGGGAGGAGUGGUUACCAUUACCAAUUUUGACAGUGAUUAGAGGUCUGGCUAAGGCUCUCAGUUGAAGCAGUUUUCAGAGUGAGCAUGAGCAAAUUGGCUGGGCAGUUGAUCUCCCCAAAAUUCCUUUCCCUAAGGUAGGUUGAUUGAAUCCAUUUUGACCAAUGUUUGAAGAAAUACCAAAUGUGCUUGAUCAUUGCACCUCUGUUCAAGGUAGUCAGAUUGGGUAAAGCCUAAACCACCAUUUGGCUUGGGAAGGCAGACCUGAAAUUAUGUUAUGAUAGGCAAGGGCAAAGUAAACAUCCGUGAUUUUGAUAUUUAUAAAAAAGUACACAAUAAUAGGGGUCUUUACAAUUUGAUACGUUUAAGGAGUGGUUAUUGGGUCUCUCAUAGUUAUUUUUAUUUUCCCAGCAAGAAUUGAAGAUAUUAUUGAUAAGAAUCAGUUCAAAAUUUCAAAUACAUCAUCGGAGCUUUACAAACUAUAAACUCAGGAGACUCAUUCCCCUCUCAUGGUACAUAAACUACCUUCCAUGAUUAGAAGAAAGGGAUUGUCAUGUACAGGUUCCAGUCCCAUUCACUGCCUUUACGACAGUCUCGGAAUCUGAUUGAAAAAUCACAUGCAUUAGAUGAUUAGAAGAACAAAUUUGUGUGUAUAUAUAUAAACGGUAAAUUCUAGCGUGAUUUAUGUGGAGUUUAUAUGAAAAAAGGUAGUGUAACGCACAAGAAUUGGGUUAAUACGGACCAUUAUCAUUUUCCUUUUGUAUUUGGCCUCAUAUUGGAAAGAAUAAGAAUAUGCAUUUUUUACGAUGGUCAAGUAUAGAUGGAUUAGGCAGAGAAGUUGUACACAGUAAAUUUAAUAUACUCAAUCUUAAUUUAGGGUAAAAUUUAACCCCAUUCAAUAUCCAUUCCAAAAAUAUCUAUUUCCUCCAUGUGUUGCUUGAUUUCCAAUUGGGACCGGACUCCACCAACAUAUUGAAUGGAAUAAUUAAACGGGGACACAGAGGCUGCUACCAGAGAUAGAGAGAGAGAUGGCUAUGGUUUCCUCCUAUACCCAAAAGAUGAGUUUACUCCUUGGAGGCAGAGUCUCCAUAAAACCUGCACUCAUCUCUUCGUCCAUCCAACGUUGUUUUUCAUCUUCUCUUCAAACAUCAGCAGCAGUAGGAACUACUCCUUUGUCUGCCUACCCGUGGCUGAUGGUUCCUCCUAGUUUGGUUUCUGACCGCGAAGAGGGGUGCGAAGUACUGUCCUCACUGCAAAAGCACAGUUGUUGGAUAUGUGGACUCCACUGUGAGAUACACACAAUUCAAGGUUAAGCAUAAAUCGGAGGUGGAGCUAGAGGACAAUGAUUACUAUUACUUGUUGAAUGUUGCCGAGAAUAAGGUUUUGAAGAAGAAAAAUCUAUGGUUGCCAUGGCAAACGGAUCACCUUUCUCCGGAUAAGGCCAUCUGCAUUGGCUCCUCUCAUGGCCGGCUUGCCUAUAUCCACCCCCGCAAUUGCUCCCUCUAUCUCUAUAAUCCCCUUAUUGAUUCCUCCAUGCCCUACCUUCCCCUCCCUCCAAUCGAAACCCUCCCUCCGAUUAUGUCAAGUCGACGUCUCAAUGGCUUGCACGUGGAUUCCUCCUCCCCCUCCUCCUCUGUUGUUACAGAGUUCAUGAUAUGAAAACAGAUGUUACCCAUAUCAGCUAAAGACCUAAGUGACAAUUUCUUUAGGAAGGUUGUUAUGUCCUCAGCCCCAACCCCAUUUUCUUCCAAUCACUAUCAGAACGUUGAUCAAGACUCUCAAUGUACGGUUAUGGCUAUCUACGGCAAUGAGAGCCCAAGAAGACUUGCCUUCAUGGACUGCACUGGAUUCGCCAAUAACGGACUCCUAUGAUGAUGUCUUCUAUGUCAGUAAGAACAAACUUUUUUAUGCUUUGUGCAAUAAUGGUGCAGUAGAAUCUUGGGAUCUCACCAACCCUUCUUCUCCAAAGAGAUCUCUUGUAAUUUCCGCUGAGCUUCCAAGAUAUCCACCGAAAAUGGACAAUCACCAUUGGUGUGUGAGAAGGGAUUCUUAUGCUAGAACGUGUUUGGCUGAAUCUUCUGGGGAAUUGUUGAUGGUUAAGAGGUACGAAAGUAAUGCCCGUGACCCUGAUAUGGACGGAAAGACCGUUGCAUUUGAUGUGUAUAAGCGGGACUUUGUUGAGAACAAAUGGGUGUAUGUGCAGAGCUUAGGAGAUCGUGUUUUGUUUAUGGGCCAAAAUCACUCUGUUUCUCUCUCCGCCCAUGAUUUCCCAGGGUUGAGAGAGAAUUCUAUUUACUUCACUGCUCAAUCUAUUGAAAACUCUUAUGCAAGUCACGAUUUCGGGGUCUUUAACUUGGAAGAUGACAGCAUCCACCACUCCGACUUGAAGGAUAUUCAACCUUCUCCUAUUUGGGUGGUCCCUGAUCUUUGAAGUGAUCUCCACUAAUCCUUGUUUCUCUCAUUCCAAAUAUAUGGCUGUGUUUCAAUUUUAUUAUUAUUAUAUUUUGUCUGCACUCUGAUUUUGCUUGCUCUCAGCAGCAUUCUUGUUUUAACUCCCUAUUGAAUUGAUGGUGUGAUGACCAAGUUUAUUUUUAUUUUUAUUUUCCUCUUAUAUAUUUUUUUAAUUGCAUUUUGUUAUGUUGUGGGGUCUAGGUUGACUAGUGGGUGAGAUAUGUGUGGAUGAGAAUGUGUGACAUGUAUAUGUGUGUGUAUAGAGAGAUAAAGUGUAAGAUAGACCAAAAAUCCUCUCAUUUCUCUCACUCCACCGACACUCUCUCUUCUCUCUCCCAUUCUUUUAUUUUUCAUUUUACUUCAACCAUUUCUCCACCAUUUCACCUCCAACAUUUGAGAUUUUGAGCUUGCAUAGAAGGGAAGUUGACGGGGACUACGAGAUGAACAAAACCCCUCAAUCAAUUUUGGAUUUGGAGCACAUUUUUCUUUUGGAGUAACUAGGGUUUGCUCCUAACUUGAGGAAAGGGCAUUGGCCAAGAGGAGGUUCCUCAUCCCUAGCUUGAUUGGGAUCUUGACAACAUUUUUGAGCUACUCGUAAUAAUUGUGACAUCCAUUGUGUAGCUUACUUUUAUUUUGACACAUGAUGUAUUUUGGAUAUUAUAUUUGAUGACAUAUUUGUAAUAUUCUUUUGGAGGAGGGAAAUGACGUAAGAACUCACCCAUCUAUCUUUUGGAGUUCCUAUGAAAUUUCCUCUCUUAUCUUUACUCAUAUAAUCCCUUAUCAUUAUUUCUCACCUUAUGGAUUGUAAUGAGGCCAUGGUGGCCAUGACUUAUAUAGUGGGAUUGAACAAUUAUUGUUUAAGUUGUGUA